rnacentral:rRNA from 1 species
CACGUAGUUAGCCGUGGCUUUCUGAUUAGGUACCGUCAAGACGUGCACAGUUACUUACACAUUUGUUCUUCCCUAAUAACAGAGUUUUACGAUCCGAAGACCUUCAUCACUCACGCGGCGUUGCUCCGUCAGGCUUCCGCCCAUUGCGGAAGAUUCCCUACUGCUGCCUCCCGUAGGAGUCUGGACCGUGUCCUCAGUUCCAGUGUGGCCGAUCACCCUCUCAGGUCGGCUACGUAUCGUUGCCUUGGUAAGCCACUUACCCCACCUAACUAGCUAAUACGGCGCGGGUCCAUCUAUAAGUGAUAGACAAAACCAUUCUUUCACUUUAGAACCAUGCGGUUACUAAAUAUUAGUCCGGCUAUUACGCCCCGGUUUCCCGGAGUUUACUUCCAGUCCUUAGUAGGUUACGGUUACCCACGUUGUUACCUCGUACCCCGGUCCGCCCGCCUAACGGUAC